AUUGAACGCUGGCGGCAUGCUUUACACAUGCAAGUCGAACGGCAGCGCGGGCUUCGGCCUGGCGGCGAGUGGCGAACGGGUGAGUAAUGCAUCGGAACGUGCCCAGUAGUGGGGGAUAGCCCGGCGAAAGCCGGAUUAAUACCGCAUACGACCUGAGGGUGAAAGCGGGGGACCGAAAGGCCUCGCGCUAUUGGAGCGGCCGAUGUCGGAUUAGCUAGUUGGUGGGGUAAAGGCUUACCAAGGCGACGAUCCGUAGCUGGUCUGAGAGGACGACCAGCCACACUGGGACUGAGACACGGCCCAGACUCCUGCGGGAGGCAGCAGUGGGGAAUUUUGGACAAUGGGGGCAACCCUGAUCCAGCCAUGCCGCGUGCGGGAAGAAGGCCUUCGGGUUGUAAACCGCUUUUGUUCGGGAAGAAAUCCUCUGGGCUAAUACCCCGGGGGGAUGACGGUACCGGAAGAAUAAGCACCGGCUAACUACGUG
rnacentral:rRNA from 1 species